CCUACGGGGGGCUGCAGUGAGGAAUAUUGGUCAAUGGACGCAAGUCUGAACCAGCCAUGCCGCGUGCAGGAUGACGGCUCUAUGAGUUGUAAACUGCUUUUGUACGAGGGUAAACCCCGAUACGUGUAUCGGGUUGAAAGUAUCGUACGAAUAAGGAUCGGCUAACUCCGUGCCAGCAGCCGCGGUAAUACGGAGGAUCCGAGCGUUAUCCGGAUUUAUUGGGUUUAAAGGGUGCGUAGGCGGGUUGAUAAGUUAGAGGUGAAAUGUCGGGGCUCAACCCCGAAACUGCCUCUAAUACUGUUGGACUAGAGAAUAGUUGCGGUAGGCGGAAUGUAUGGUGUAGCGGUGAAAGGCUUAGAGAUCAUACAGAACACCGAUUGCGAAGGCAGCUUACCAAACUAUAUCUGACGUUGAGGCACGAAAGCGUGGGUAGCAAACAGGAUUAGAUACCCGAGUAGUC
rnacentral:rRNA from 1 species